rnacentral:rRNA from 1 species
UUGAACGCUGGCGGCAGGCCUAACACAUGCCAGUCGAGCGGAUGAAGGGAGCUUGCUCCUGGAUUCAGCGGCGGACGGGUGAGUAAUGCCUAGGAAUCUGCCUGGUAGUGGGGGAUAACGUCCGGAAACGGGCGCUAAUACCGCAUACGUCCUGAGGGAGAAAGUGGGGGAUCUUCGGACCUCACGCUAUCAGAUGAGCCUAGGUCGGAUUAGCUAGUUGGUGGGGUAAAGGCCUACCAAGGCGACGAUCCGUAACUGGUCUGAGAGGAUGAUCAGUCACACUGGAACUGAGACACGGUCCAGACUCCUACGGGAGGCAGCAGUAGGGAAUAUUGGACAAUGGGCGAAAGCCUGAUCCAGCCAUGCCGCGUGUGUGAAGAAGGUCUUCGGAUUGUAAAGCACUUUAAGUUGGGAGGAAGAGCAGUAAGUUAAUACCUUGCUGUUUUGACGUUACCAACAGAAUAAGCACCGGCUAACUUCGUG